rnacentral:rRNA from 1 species
AUGAAGGGCUACUCCAUACGGUCACCUCAAGACUGGGAGCUUGAUGAUCGAUCGGCUGGAUGCACAAGAAAUACUCCACUCUACUGCAACAGCAACAACAGUAGAGCCGGCGGCGAGACAGAUAAGUUCCACCCUAUGACUUCUGUCCAACUUCCCGCUGAUGCCAGGAACGUUGCGACGGCCACUACUGCAGAUGAAUGCUCAUUUGCAUGCCUGGGAAGCUGCUCCUGCACUGCAUACUCCUAUGAUCAAGGUGCCUGCUCCGUUUGGCACGACAAGCUGCUCAAUGUUCGGCAACAAGGUAACAGUGUUCUUCACCUUCGCCUCGCUGCAAAAGAAGUGCCAAGCAGUAAAACCAAUAGAAGGGGACUGAUCAUUGGUGCUGUUGUUGGUGCAAGCACUGCCGCUUUGGGUUUGAUCUUUCUGCUGAUGAUUUGGAUGAGAAAAAAUAAGCAGUAUGGUGAUGAUGCUCAGGGUGGCAUGGGGAUAAUUGCAUUUCGAUAUGCCGAUUUACAGUCUGCAACAAAAAAGUUCUCAGAGAAGUUGGGGGCCGGCAGUUUUGGUUCAGUAUUCAAGGGUUCGCUGAGUGACUCGACAGCCAUAGCAGUGAAAAGGCUUGAUGGAGUCCGCCAAGGAGAGAAGCAAUUCAGGGCUGAGGUGAGCUCAACUGGAGUCGUCCAGCAUGUCAACUUGGUUAAACUGAUUGGCUUUUGCUGCCAAGGUGACAGGAGGUUACUCGUGUACGAGUACAUGCCCAAUGGCUCCCUGGAUCACCAUCUCUUCCAAAGCAAUGUCAUGGUGUUGGAUUGGACUACCAAGUACAAAAUAGCUCUUGGGGUUGCUAGAGUACUAGCCUACCUGCAUUCAAGUUGCCGGGACUGCAUUAUACACUGUGAUAUCAAGCCAGAGAACAUACUUCUGGAUGGGUCUUUCACCCCUAAAGUUGCGGACUUUGGAAUGGCCAAACUUUUGGGAAGGGAUUUCAGUCAGGUUGUUACCACAAUGAGGGGAACCAUUGGGUACCUUGCUCCUGAAUGGAUCAGCAGAACUUCCAUCACAUCAAAAGUUGAUGUUUACAGCUAUGGGAUGGUUCUGUUAGAGAUUGUAUCGGGCAGCAGGAAGUCGAGUAAGCAAUCAUCCUCCCGAGAUGGCGCUCAUGAAGGAUAUUUCCCGGUGCGAGUUGCACACAGUCUUGUUGAUGGAGACGUUGCAAGCCUGGUGGAUGCAAAAUUGCUAGGUGAAGCAAAUCUGGAGGAGGUUGAAAGAGUUUGCAAAGUAGCAUGCUGGUGUAUUCAAGAUGAUGAGUUUGAUCGACCCACAAUGAGUGAGGUGGUACAGUUUCUUGAGUGUCUGUCUGAAGUUGAGACACCUCCGGUGCCAAGAUUACUUCAAGCCAUUGCAGGACAGCCAAAUCUGAAGAUAAUGUAG